AAGAAAUUACGGCAGGGUUAUGAUUAUUUUCUCUUGCUGCGCUGAGAUUAGAAAAGUGGAAGUCAGCACCUGGUUGUGGACAGCCAUCAAUAAAGAAGAGGGCUGGACUGGCUGAACUCAUUCAUCCUUCCUGGUGACUCCCUUGUUGCUGCCAUUACAGCACUGUGUAGUGGGAUCAGUGUGGGACUUUCUUGCUCUGAUCCUUCUCUCUUUACUGAGUUUGAAUACUCAUUGAACUCCACAGGACUACUGACCAUAAGAGGAUACAGUAAAAAUGAUAUCUUGAUUUCUGGUCCUGCAGAAAAAUCCACCGUAAGACAUCUGUGGUAGCUGGAAGAUUAAUCCAUUCAAAUGACAAAGCAUGAAUGCUCCCCAAUAUGGUACUAACAGUAGUGAUUUAUUGGUUUUGGCAAACUAUGCAAAAGACUGCCUUUUCUUGGAUGUUAAGUGGAAAUACACAUUGAUUGUGUGCAAGUCAAGAUCUGCAAGGUUGCAAAUUCUACUUUCUUGCUACUGUCAGUUUCAUGAAGAUAGUUAGAAAAUUCACUAAAACAACCUUUAUGAAUAGUUUCGGAUGCCCGUUCCAGAUGCUGUGAAGCAGGUGAGAGGGAUCUCCAGGAGAUCAGAGCCUGUGUCCAGGAGGAAUCAACUCCCGACAAGAUGCAUCGAUCCUGGGGUUUUAGAUGUGGCUGCUCACAAUGAUAAUUAGAUGCUAAAGUGAUGAUUCCUGGAGAGCCAAGAGGCUAUAAAGCAUUCUCAAGGGAUCAAGGCCCUGCAGAGGGAAAGAUGAUAACCUGCAAUCUGAAGGCAGCUGAAACAGAGAGGAUGCUUUAUCCAGUUGUUUGCUCUGUUGAAAGCAGAGGUGACACCUGCAGAAGAAAAUUAGCUGGAUGCGCUUUCAUCACAGAGAAAUACCAUCAUCUUUUUUUAGUUCCUCUGACAUUUUAUGCAGCAUGUUGCUGUAGAACAUAGCAGGCCUUUACUGGGAGGAAGAAAUUUGCAUUCUCCUGAGGAUGGAGACAAGUCUACUCUCUUCUGUGAUGGAGAACUAACUGCCACCAGCAGGUGGGAGAGCAAAUUAAAGCUAACGUAAUGAAUAAAGUUUGGGACCUAUUUUGCUCUAGUUUCUUUUUACUUUGCUUGUUUGUUUGUGUGUGUGUUUCUUGUUGUUGUUUGUUUAUUUUGAUGUAAUGGCAAAAAUAGGCCAGACUGGGAAUGGUUGGUACUGGUCAUUGAUAGAGAAAAAGUUUUGGUUGCUGGACGUAGUUUUUCUUCAUUCUCUUACCCCUUGACAACUGUAUUACUAAAUACUUCUUACAAUACCAUGAAUUCAAUUGGCAGACUUUGGCAAAUCUUCUUGGCUUGGCUUUUUACCAGAAGAAAGACUACUGUCGUCUGGCAAUUGUGUGGUUUUUCUUGUGUUUGUUUUCCCCUCUGUGUCUGUCAUUUUCAAUCAAAUGUUAAUCGUAAAUAUACAUCAUAUUGUACAACUUUGUUCUUCUUGGAGUAUCAAGACAGAAAUACAUUAGAAACCUCAGUCUUUCAAAAAGAUCAGCAAUGGUGAACUUAUUUGCAGGGUUCUGGCAUCACAGACCUGAAAUUGUAUGUUGUCACACAGGAUAAAAUAAUAGUUUUGUUUUCUUGUUUCUUCUAUAACUUUAGAGGAGAAUUUAGAGAACAAUUCCUUCCCUCACUGCCCCCAUAUUUCUGUAAAUCUGAAAAAGUGCAUUUUAUAAAAACAAAGUUAAAACUGACUUCAGGUAGUCCAUGUUUUGCUGCAUAUUUUAUGGAAUAUAGAAUUUGAGAAUGAUCAUUGAUCUCUUCUCUUUAGAGAAGAGGAAUUUUAACAUGGAAGAGAAACUAAAC